UAGGGAAUCUUCGGCAAUGGACGAAAGUCUGACCGAGCAACGCCGCGUGAGUGAAGAAGGUUUUCGGAUCGUAAAACUCUGUUGGUAGAGAAGAACGUUGGUGAGAGUGGAAAGCUCAUCAAGUGACGGUAACUACCCAGAAAGGGACGGCUAACUACGUGCCAGCAGCCGCGGUAAUACGUAGGUCCCGAGCGUUGUCCGGAUUUAUUGGGCGUAAAGCGAGCGCAGGUGGUUUAUUAAGUCUGGUGUAAAAGGCCAGUGGCUCAAC
rnacentral:rRNA from 1 species